GUUAAAGAGAAAAACAGCUGCAACUUGAUCAAUCCAGGAAAAGCAGGUAUGAAUAAAGACAGCAAAGUUAAAGGGAAAGCCAGCUCAGAUGCUCUGAAAAAGUUUGCCCACCAGGAAGAGAUGAGGGUGACAGUGUUAUUCAUUCAUGUUCAGUAGGAAAGGCGAGGCUUUGUGGCGGAGGUCAAGGUUAGCUCUAGGAGUCCUUGGGGGUGUGAGGAAGGGAGACUGCUUGAAAAAUCAAAGGAAAACCCAUUGAAUCCCUGGAUCCUUGCAAAAGGAGUGAGUGAGUAAGGAGGAAGGUGAGGACAGGCCAGAGAGAAGGGAGAAGGAGGGAAAAGAGAGAAUUUUGGAGAUGGAAGGCAGUGAGUGGGGACAAAGGAGAAAAGCUGCUUGUUUCAAAUCAAUAUUUCUCACAGAGGAUGUCGAGUUUCUCCAGGGAUAUUCCCAGGGGGGUCACAGGCCUAGAGCUAUGACACUGCUAACAUCUGCUAGGCAAGAGUGUCUCUGGAUUCCCACGAACCUCGUCCUCUUCAUCUUUUCUCUCCCAGCCCCUAUGGUGUGGUCUGCACACUCUGCGUUCCCUCCCCUGAAAACCUCCUGCUUUUAUCUCUGCCUCCGGAGGGGCCACGGAAAGGAAAAAUGUCACCUGCUUUUCCUCCCAGCAGCUGAAUUAUUCUUCCGUCCUUUUAUUUUGAUAGCAAAGUGGUUCAAGUUAUGUUCCAGGGCUGUGGAAAUCCUCAAAGGGAUUACAGAAUGAAAAAGUUUUGAAAAUCAUGCUCUAAAUAGAAUCGGAGACGAAAACCUGUCACAAUGAAAAAUUAAACUGAACUGCCUCAGAUAAAGCGAAGGAGCAACCAACGAUUGGCAAGCCAGGAGAGGAAUGCAUCUCAUGCAGGACUGGUAAGGAGGCAGUUUCCUGCCAGUGUCAAAGCCUCUUCCCACCUGGCAUGUGCUGAGGAAACACGAUGAAAACAAUCCAAGUGUAACAUGCAAACUCUAAAAAGAGAAGUAUGGGUUUACUCCUAAAUUUGAAAUGUACUGUCAGUAACUGAAUUUAUCACAUAAAUUUAUUUAUCACAUAAAUUCAGUGGACUAAGGAGUCAGACCCUCUCCUUAUAUGAGUCUUUGAAGUUGGCGACCUUCCAAUAAUCAAUGUAGUCUAACGAACCCAGGACAAAACCACCAUCACUCAUGUUAUGUGAUCUUGAGAAACUCAUUAGUCAUUCUUUCUAAGCAUUGGUUAAUUUGUUAAGUGGAUUUCAUCACACAGAUGUGGUAAAGAUUACGAUUUUUAAAAUCAUUAUUAUUUUGUGUACUAAGUCGUAUAAUCAGUAUUUAAAUGCAAUAUCUCAUUCAUCUUCCAACUAUCUUCUAGUAGGAUGAAUGGCUGGGUAGAUGGAUGGAUGAAUGAAUGGAUGAUUAAGAUGAAUGAAUAAAAGUAAUUAUCAAUCCUUACUUUAGGGAUGAGGAACUGAGAUUUAGACUAAAUAAUUUAUGUAAGGUCUCAUGAUUAUUGGAGUAUUCUCCUUUUACCUUAUUAUACUAUUUUCUGUAGCCUACUCUGCCAGUCUCUACUUAUUCUACCUCUUCCUCAGUCCUUAAAGUCCUACCAGGUAACUCCCAUCCCUCACCCAAUCACUCAGAGUUCUCAGAUUCUUUUCUUUUUCUUCCCCAAAUCUAUUCUCAUGCACAGACAUAAAAACCCUUCUAUUCAACUCAGCAAACAAAUAAUGUCCAAAAGUGAUGUACUGAGCACUAGCUUAGAUGCUAGAAAGGCAGGAUAAAAUAUGGUUCCUUACCCUAAAAUUAUUCACAAGUAAUAACAUUGGGCCUAAAGCCUUGAGUUGCAGCCCACAUCACCAACUCCACACUGCCCUGACCUCCGACCCCCAGUCUGCUCCUCCAUUCUCACUCCCUCUGAAACCUUGCAAAGAAAAUUUGCUUUGUUUGAAAUGAGUCACCAUGAUUCAAUCUGAAGUGAAGAGAUACUGGUGUUCCAGCAUUGGUGGACAGGUCUAUGAGAAUAUUUAUUUAGUGCUUUUGAAACUAUACUCCUUAGUUGGGCUCUUGAUCUGCCUGAUCAGGAUCAAGUGAUUUAAAAAGCCAAAUGACAAUUGGCUUGUCAUGAACAAAUGUGCCAAAGUACUUAGAGGCAUACAGGUUUCAAAUGAGGGCUAGACUUACACUAGGAAAUGCUCCUUUCAAG
rnacentral:lncRNA from 1 species